AUUGAACGCUGGCGGAAGGCCUAACACAUGCAAGUCGAGGGCAGCGGCGGACGGGUGAGUCAUGUCUGGGAAACUGCCUGGUAGGGGGGGAUAACGUCAGGAAACGGGCGCUAAUACCGCAUAAUAGCAGAUGAGCCAAUGUCGGAUUAGCUAGUUGGUGGGGUAAAGGCCUACCAAGGCGACGAUCAGUAACGGGUCUGAGAGGAUGAUCAGGCACACUGGAACUGAGACACGGGCCAGACUCCUACGUGAGGCAGCAGUGGGGAAUAUUGGACAAUGGGCUAAAGCCUGAUCCAGCCAUGCCGCGUGUGUGAAGAAGGUCUUCGGAUUGUAAAGCACUUUAAGUUGGGAGGCGUUACCAACAGAAUAAGCACCGGCUAACGUCGUGCCAGCAGCCGCGGUAAUUC
rnacentral:rRNA from 1 species